ensembl:lncRNA
AAACACAAUUUAGAUGUAGCAGUGAGGUCUAAAGCAAGUUGUGCUUUGUAAAGAAAUCAAAGGAAGAAACUGAACGGUGCCUGAGUGGAAACAGUGAGGGAAUCAGUGUGUCUGGCAUUGACAUAAUACUGCGAAAUCAAUUCUUUGAUCAACUAUAAAGCAUAACAGCUGUGUGAAAGGUUUGCUGUGGUUAGCUGGCAUUAUCUCUUGUGCAAAGCCAAGUACAUUGUAAACCAGUAAAAAUUAACUGCUGGAGCACAAUGAUGUUUUUGUGACUGGGAAUCCAGAUAAAAUUAUGCUUCUGUUGGCAGAACGAUAAAAAGAGCUGCGGCCAUUUGCAUACAGGUGAGGAGGGGCGGCGAUGUCCCAUGGUCUGCAGAGUGCAGGGCACCACAGGUAUGCAAAGCAUUCAGCUGCAAGGGCUGUCUUUAAUUAAACUUUGUUUUCACCUGGUUAGUUAUGGAGUGGGAGGAAAUGGGCAGUACCGUGCGGAGUCAUUGGGUGGCAGCAGAGCAUUUACCACUUCCCAUGGUAUCCCAAUAGAAGAAAGGACUGCAGCUCUGCUUGGUUUUGAUGUAGGUGUCUGAAAGCAAGGCUUGAGCUCUGAAACGGUAUCUCAGCAUGACAUCUAUGGUGAGAGCCACCUCUCUUCGAGACAGAUUUCCCUCCAAAAGUUUUAACAUGUCUGCAUGUAUAAUGCAUACAAGUGUAGAUGCACAUGCAAGAACUGCCUCUGUGGGCUCUGCAGGUUGCAGCUGUAUGACAGUGAGGUGCUUUAAUGUGACUGCUGCCACUGCCAGUUACCAUAUUAAGAUCCUGUAUCCCUGGCAGUUCAAGCUUCUGAAGAUGUGUAGCGUGGUGGUCUUGUGAAUGAAGCCAUGUCAUAGUUCUAAAGGAUUUUUCUGCUGGAAGUGGUGGUGUGAAUGUGGCCAGCGUUAGCUAGUUAGCCAAAACUGCCCAUGCUUUUAUUAGUCGUGGCUCUUUGUAAGAAAGGUGUAAGAGGCAGGACAGUUAAUGUUUAUCAUUAGUGUUUAUCAGUGGCUGUGGGCAAUCUGGUCUAGAAGGAGGUGUCCCUGCCUAUAGCAGUGGGGUUGGAACUAGAUGGUCUUAGAGGUCCUUUCCAAACUGAACCAUUCCAUUAAUUUAAGGAAGGAGUUAAUCUCUCUGUACUUAUUCUACAAUUUAAACUUGUCUUUUGUUUUUUGUUUUUUUUUAACUUGGGUGUUGUGGACAGUGCUUGAAGGACUCGGAAAAUGCUGUCCUCUUUUGGAACGGAGUAUAUUCUUUGUGUAUUUUUUCAUUUCAAUUAAGAGAUUGAGAACUUAUUUUCAUUUGUUUUGUGUUGAUUCUGCACACCUCACGCUGUAGUUCAUGCCCAACAACGUGCUGUGGCCUCAGGGAGGAUGGAUGAAGUAAAUUUACUUCAUCCCUGCUGUUUUCUCUUACUAGCUUAAGUAAUCCACUUAUUAACCGGUGUGUCUACAAACCCCUGCCCUUUAACUUUACCUGCACGUGGAGCAAGAGUCUCCUCAUGCAGAGUUUCAUUAUUUAUUUCCAUGCUCUGUGGUUACCUUUAGCAGAAUGUUGUGAGGCAGAGCAGAAGUAAUAGGAAUUACAGUACUGAGGAUGAAGUAUGCAAACUCAUGACACCUCUUUGCCAUUGGCGCGUGUGCUGGGAGUGUGGUCAUCAGUGAGAACCUACCCGUUGGUUGAAAUCACGCAGAGAUUUCCAUCUGUAGAGGUUUAGUUUGGAGCCAUGUUGGGAUUGUGUCAGCCUACGAUCGUUAGGAGAUUUGGUUGGUAGGAAAUGAAAAGAGUGAUGAGAAUCCUGUUGGCUUUUUUCUGCAGUACACGUAGCAGGUGUUUUCCAUUUUUUCUCUUGUGUAAAGAUAAGGAGAGAGGGACGGACACUGGCAGAAGUUACAAGGCUUUCUGAGAUCUGUUACCAGUGUUACAGCACUGAUGCUUCGUGUCCUUGGAAGAUUGUGUUGCUUCUUUUUGAGGAAUCGGCUCUCUAAAUUUCAACUUUGCAGCCCUUCAGUUAAUUGAUAGUGUUUUUUUUUUUUAACGAAUUGCCUCUGGCUUUCAUUUUCUCCCCAUUCAGGGAUUUGUCAACCUGACUGCAGAAAAAACACAGUGCCUAUUGUCCUGUGCUUAUUUUACAUGCUGACAAUAGGAAACCUCUCUUUUUCCCACAAAUUUGCAAUGACAUUCUCCUUUAGGGGUUACUUCAAGAGGAUAACCACUAUUUCCUCCCAGUUUAAGCUUCCCAUGUGUCAGGGAUAUUUGAUCAUUUCCAGUAGAUGGAAAAAUGCGGUUUGCAGGCUGAGAAUUGCCCGUGUACUUCUGCAGGCUGUUGUGAGGGAUGCUAUCUUAUGGUGAAUUUCUAGGAGAUGAAACCACUGUGUUUAACAAAAUAGCAUGAGGAUCUGUAAAAGAAGCUCUUCUUGGUGUCUGAAGUUCCUACAGCUUUAGUGGCUGCAACAAAAGGUCAGAUCUGCUAGCAGCUAUAGGAGGAAUUGCUGGAGGUUCCCUUGCAUCUGCCUUGGAUUCAACUGAAUUGCAUCCAAACCCCACAGGUUUCAAAGAAUAAUGCUGGGCUCGUUGACUUGCUUGCUUUAACAAAAGAUCAAUUUAGCUAGAAAGCUUUGGACUAAUUAAGAAAGUCUUUACACAGUUCUUUGAGUAAAGAGGAAAGAGGAUACUGUCAUUUUGAAGAAUGCCAACCUAAUGCAUCAAAGUAGUCAUGCAUUUUGGUGGCACUUUAAGAUAGGUUGGUCAUUAGGAAAAAUUUCUUCUUGGAAAUAGUGGUGGUGCAUUGGAAUAAGCUGCCUAGGGAGGUGGUGGAGUCACUGUGCCUGAAGGUGUUCCACAACUGUGGAGGUGUGGUAUGAAUGAACCUGGUCAGUGGAUGUGGGGGGCAUGGGUUGGUGGUCAGACAGGGUGAUGUUGGAGGUCUUUUUUGCCCUUAAUGAUUCUAUGAAAUGCAGUUAUAUCAAAUACAGAAGCGUUGUCUCUAUUUUUGGAAGCAGAGCAAUAUACUUGUGACCAUCUGAGCACCAUUGGCAUCUGGUGGUUUGAGGUCCCUUGGUGUUCCAGUAUAAGUACUGUUCUUACGGUGGGAGUGAUUCCCCAGUAAAACUGCAGUGUAAAAAUGGUAGAGUAGUUCACUUGGAGCCUACACUAAACAGGAGCUAUAGUGCUGGCAAGUGGUGGUACGGAUACCUCAGCUACUGAGCACGAGCAGGCAGAAAUCCAUAGAGUUGCACUAAUACUGUGAAUUCUGCUGUAAUACUAUCUAGGAAAUUUCAGAUAAAUUCUGAUCAUAGAAGCUUUGAGAAGUGCUUACACAGCUCUUUCUUCAGCACAUUGAAUGUUCUUGUUCAAGCCCAGACGCAUUACCCUCAGUUAGUGGUAAAUUAGGUUCUUGAGAUGGGCCAAUGACAAAUCGGGUUUUUAUGCCUCUUUUCCAGUGUACCGCAGACCUUUGGAAUUUCAUUUCCUCCGUUCUUAAGUGGUAGAAAUUCAUUCACUGCUCUGCAGAAUUUGUGGUUAAGUUGCUUUUGAGCUGUUCUGCAGGAAAAUGAAAGUAUUUCUUGAUCCUAAGUCCACUGAAGAGUCUGAAAGAUUUCCACUGGUUUCGGUGGCCUUUGGUCAGACAUGUGAUGUAUUAUGAAAAUAGCAGAGAAUGUCACUGUGGUUUUUUUGACCCUAUAAGCAGAUUGGCAACAUACCUAGAACCAAACUUUUCAUAUUUUCCAAGUGCUUUGCUGUUAAGAAAAUUAAGUAAAACGUUGCUAUAAAAUUUUCAGUUACUAAUAUUUAGAUGAACAUGCUCAGAGACCAUUUUGAUGGUUUUCAGAGUGUUGUCUUGAGUCUUUUGGGUUCUUCUGUAACCAAAUGUGAUCUUCUAGGCCACUUUUGCCAAUGGAAUGUUUUCCUAAUUGUAUCCAGGCGGCUCGGUGUAGAGAAGGAGUGACUGUGAGCAGGAAUAAAUCACUGCUAAGUACCCUGAAAAGAUAAAUGAGCAAGACUUGAACAAAAACAAACUCACCACCAUGCCUUAUUAUGUCUGAGGUGCCUAGAAUAAAGUGCGAUUGCAUUUUGCGUUAUAAGCUCUGUUUGAAAUGACUGUUCUGUCAAAAGAAUUAGCAGCUUAGAUUCCGUCGCAUUUUGCAUGUUUGUUAUGUGCUUUCCAAGAGUUUCUUUUGUAAAGAUGGAUAAAUAUUGGCUAAUAUCACUUUGGAAAGUACUUAAGAAGAAACUGCUUUUGCCCUAGAUAUUCUCUACUUUUUAUGGUAGUGACUGGGAGGGUGCUUAAGAGCCAAGCUGUGUUGUCCCAAAGAAUCUGUAAUUUAAGAAGACGGUGUGAGAAAUAGUAUACUAACAGUAAGAUGAAUAUUUUAUUUUUUGAGAUGUAGUAUCUUCUAGGGGAAGCUAGAAGGGAAAGGCACUGAGCUAUCUCUGGGCAGUUAACUUUCCAAUGAGAGGUGUAUGGUGUGUUUGAAUAACUAUGUGUGUAUGAACAUGCAUGUUAAUAGCAGAUUUCUGUUCAUGUGCGCUUUGCUAGUAGUUGCUUGGUGAGCGUACCUGCAUGGAUAUUUAGCAACAUUCUGAUUGUUGUACUAGGUUGUUAUUUUUGCCCUGGGAAAGCCAUGGAAGGGUGUCUGAGAAGCAUGCUUUCUGGAAACUGAUUUUCUGCAGCGUAUGGUACCUAUUUGGUGCUUGCGUGCAAGCUGAGAGGCUGCCCCAGUGGUAGCUAUUGCAAGGCUCCAGCAUGGUCAAUGGAGGAACAUCUUAUAGUUUGAGGGAGUGCCCUGACAUGGUGUAAGACAGUGGAAUGCUUUAUGGUCGUACAUUGACACAAAGAUUAUCAAGCUAGCUUAGUUUUUUGUAUGUCAUUGAGUUCAGCAACAACUUGAGUUUUAGGGAUACCCUCCCAGAGAGAAGCCGUAUUUAUUGUCUCUGUCUUCACAGACGCAUCAUGUCCUGGUCAAGAUUCACUAUUCAGAAGUUAAGUUUGGAUGUAAGUGUUCAUGUUUACCGUAUCUUAAAAUUGCUAUAGUCUGACUUUCUCAAAGCUUUGAUUAGUCUCUUCAGCCCUUGAUGGGGGGAAAGAACAGCUAAGUUGGGAACUCGCUUGGCUUUCUAAAACUAAAGCACACAAGGGCCUCUUCUACAGUAGCUGUCCCUUCUAAAAUGCUCUGUGGUGGAUUGAAAUGCUGGAUUUUUCUCUGAAGAUUGGAGAUGACUCUGGAGUGUUUUUUCUCUUAAUUUAACCAGGAAAGCAAAUUUUCAUUAAUAAAGCUACCUCUACUGUUUCACUGCAAUCUUACCUUAAGGAAAUGUUUGAACGUUAAGCGUUUUACCCACAUCAGUGAAACAACGUAGAUUUCCCUGCCAAAAAUCACGUUCGCAUAUCAUCCUUGCUGCUGUAGCUGCAAGGUGAAGUCUGGAAUUUUUCCAGUAGCCCACCUGCCAAUUCGCCAUCAUUGAUCAUCACCAGGAGUCACUUGAGUUGUCUGAUGUAUAGCAAAGUAUGUUUUUGGCUGCGUGUGAUGUGUGAGCUGUUUUAGGUCCUGGGGACCUGCUUUAACUGUCUUAUGAAAGGCUGUUCUGCAAAACAGGUUGUAGUUUGCUGAGAGAUGGUUCCUAUGUUAUAAUGAAGUAGCGGUGCACUGUUCAGGUGUUGCAUGUGUGAUAGGGAAAUGAGCUUGCUCAGAAUCACAGAAUUGAAGGGUUUGGAAGGAACCGUAAGAGAUCCUAAGUCCAAACCCUCUGCCAAAGUGGGUCCCUUACAGCUGACCACACAGGUAGGAAUCCAGAUGGAUUUUGAAUUUCUCCAUAGAAGGAGACUCCACAACCUCUCUGGGCAACCUGUUCCAGUGCUCCAUCACCCUUAACCGUAAAGAAAUUAUUCUGUAUGUUAGUAAGGAACUUCCUGUGUUCAAGUUUUAGGCCAUUACUCUUUGUCCUAUUGCUGUGUACCACUGAGAAGAGUCUAGCCUCAUCCAUUUGCCUCCCACCUCCCAUCAGGUAUUUAUAAACAUUAAUUAGAUCCCUCCCUCAGUUUUCAGUUUCCCCAGGCUGAACAGACCCAGGUUACUCAGCCUUUCCUCAUCUGGGAGAUGCUUCAGGCCCUUUAUCAUCUUUGUGGCCCUCUGCUGGACCUAAUCUGAUUACUUGGCGUUCAGUGAAAGCUCAGCUAUUGAAAUCAACGAGAAGGGACACAUGCCCAGUGUUCUUUUGACUUGAUAUUCAACUCUUAGUGUCUUUAGAGCUGCGUUUUCUGCUAAGAAAGGUAUUGUGAGAUUAUAGUAAAUGCAUGCAACUCCUAAUCCUUGGGGUUAAGUGGGGGAAAAAUUUAAAACGAAGUCUACGUGAGGAUCUUCUGCUGGGGGGGAGAAGUAAUCGUAUUUUUGUGAAAUGAAGAUACCUCAUAACAUUUAGUCCCUUAGUUUACUAGUUAGAGAUGGCUGUGAGAACUUGUUACGCCGUGAUUAUGCACAGGAUGCUGCAAAUGGCUCUGGGUGCUGAUAGGAAUUCAUUUCCGAGACUCAGAUUUAAUCACUGGUGAGAUCUUCCUGUAACAGUCAAGCACGUAGCCUCAGCCUCACAUCUUGCGUUAAUGCCUUGUUUAAGCAGUCUAGCUAGUCAGCUAAGGUAUAAAACCCAGAAGGAAUCAGAAAAUCCCAAUUUGAUUGAUCUUGGUAUUUUAUGAUCUUUUGAUUUAGCGACUCUUGUUUCAUUUUGAGUUCAUUUUUCAGUUCUGCAUUGUUAGGAUUACAUAGGCCAUAUAAGAAUUUGUUUAAAGAUCAGUUUUAUUGGGAGUAAAAUAAAAGCUGGAAAUCUUCCUGUUAUUCUAAGGCAUUAUAACAGCUUGUUUGUACAAAGUCUAAAUUUGGAGCCAAAUUUUACUUGUCCUUUACAGCAAUAAUAACCUCAGAACCCUGCUAAUAAAUGCUGGAAGGUUUGUCAGUGCUCAAACGAAUCUGAAGAUAUUUUGAUUAUUUGCCAUACUUAGUCUUUACGUCGGUGGGUUUUGAACUAGAACAGGUGGGUCUGCAUUUUCCUGCCCUAAGUAGCUGAUCAUAUAUUACUAGGUGUUUGACAGCUGUCCUUAUCGUUCUUAGCUGCCCAUACUUUCUCAACACUUUCAUGAUCUAUUAAUCAUUUAUUAACCCUUUAUAAACCAUUUAUAAAUGUACCCUGAAUAAGAAAAAAAAAGUGCAACCAUUCAAUUUCUUCCUCGAGUUUAAUAUUAAAGGCAAGUCCAAGGUCAUGAUGGGCAGAGGGAGGCUUUAGGGAGCCGGUGUAGUUUAUAUUUUGGCCAGUCAACUGAGGAACCACGUGCAUCUAAGAUCAGUAAAGUGUGUGCAGUGGAGAAAGUUCACACGGUGUAAUGCGCUGCAGGCAGUAUUAGCGUUGAUUUACCCAAUCUGUUAAUGGUAUGGUCUGUCUAGACCUUUGGAACAUUCCUUAGCUCCUUAUUUAAUGUAGGAGGAAUCAUUUCUGAAAUUAGCAUAUAAAUUGUCUGGAGUCAGCAGCCCUUUAAAACAGCAUUUCACCCUUGUGUCUAGGCACGAUCACUUGUUUUAAAAAGUACUGAUAUGAGGGCAUAAACUGAGAAAAUUCAUUCAGUUUAAAAAGGGGAAAUGGUCAGGAUUUGAUUUGGUAGGUUAUAUUUGUUCAGCAAUGUUAAUAAGGGGAAGUGUAUGAUGAUAAGGAAACAUCUGGCAAGCUCUAUUCGUGUAGAAGGUUUACACUUAUGUAACUGAAACUGGAGGGCUUUCCUGAUUUUUUUUUUUUUUUUUUUGACAUAUCAUUCUCUUCAUUCCUUGGUCUUCCGUGUAACCUGUAAAUAAGCCAUACAGUGUGCUGUGUUCAUCUGAGGGCUCAGUCCAGCUGAACGAGCCUGGUGCUCAGUGUUGGGAUGCUGCAGGGGGGAGGCACGAGGAACCUGCUGGAGGGAACCCUCCUCCCCAGCUCCGGUUUCUUUCCAGGCACUUCUGAGGUCUACGCUUGUUUGCUCUUCAGUUGCCAGGGGUAAUGUACAGUGCCCCAUUCUGAGGUUAUCAGUUGCAAAGGAAGGUAACGUAACGUGUAUUCACCUUGAGAAUUAUGCAGGAAUUGUAAACUUGCAUUUGGAAAGAGUGCGUUUCUAUAUGGAGACAGAAAAUAAAUGACGAUACAGUCCAGUAGGUUUAGCUGGCAUGAAUCUGAAAUGACCACACUGAGCAGUGAAGCCAACAAAAUCUUUGUAGUACAAAAUCAUGUGUUCUGAACAUGCCGUGUACUUACAGAAAAACUAUUCCUGGAAUGUUGCUAGAGAGUUUUAUAUGUUUAUUUGGAACUUACUUCUCAUCUCCCUUGCUCCAAAAGCCAGGUGCUUUAAUCACAGUGAAAUUGACAGCCCUGGUCACAGAGAAAUAGGGCUGGAAAUUAAUGCGAUUACAGAUAAUCUAAAACAGCACUUUUAUAUAAAACUGAAGAAAACAUCCUAACUUAAAAUUGUUAUUACCUCAAGCGUUAAACACUGAAUUUGUUACCAAAACUGCUUUACUGGAAAGCUAUUUCCAUUCUAGAAAGGCUUGGCUUGUGGCCAGGGAAGUCUUCAAGAUACUGGAUCUGAAAUUUGUUAUGGUCUCAGCAUCCAUCCCGUGUGCUACCCACGUCCUAUGAAGAGAGCAUGUUUGAGAAGGAAAGAAAAGGCCAAGAUUCCUUGAAACAAAACAAGCUGCUUACCUGAUGCUAGAGUAAGGUACGAGGAGAGUUAUUUUUGUAAGCUCUUCAUCCCAUCUUCUCUUCAAGUACCUUUCAAACUACCUUGUACAUAGGCAGCCCCAGUGACCUUCCAAUUGUGAAGUCACGUUUGAGCUUCUAUUACUUUUUAUUUGAGGAUCUCAGAACACUGUAGGUGUGUGCAUUUGAAGGGUUCAUGGCUAGGGCGGCCGCACGUAGGAGUUCUACUGAGUGCAGAGCUACGUGCGGUGGGCAGGUGCUGUGCUCUGUUAGUACUCUGCCUGGAACAGCCAGGCCUUGGCUGCUGUCUGUGGGCCAUUGCUUGAUGCUAAACAACAAUUGCAAGAGCAAUGUGACAGUGUUCCUGCCUGAGUGAGCGACAGCAGUUAUUUAGUGACCGUGAACUUAGCAACCCAAGAACUGCGUUUAUUUCACAGUCUUUAGAGAGUGUCUGAUCCAACGAUAACCGUGUGCGAAGUGUCAGAAUGUCCUGGAUGAAUCAGAGCAGGCCACUGUUAGCACAAACGUGAGGCUGGCCACGGUGCUGCUGGGCAGGCACAAAUGGAGUGAGGUGCUGGGAGUUGUCAGCAUGCUGCGCUGUGAGCCAACUGCGCCUUGGCCGUGGGGCUCCCAGGCUUCCUUGGAGGGCUGCGUAGGCCUAACCUGUUGUGAUUUUGGAGUUACUUUGCAGGGAGCGCUUUAAAAUGUUGGAUUCCCCCCCCCCCCCUUAGUGCUCAAUUUAAUUGGAAUUAUGGUGCCCAUCAAAAAGUAUUACUGCAAGGUGACCUGGAAAUAAUCAUUUCCUUUCAUCUAUAGCAAACAUUUGUAGGUCGUUAAAAUGUCACAAAUAAAUAAAGUCUUAUUCACAAAGAAAUGGCUUUAUGCGAGCCUAGUAAAAUAUGAGAUUUCAUUAUGUACAAAAAGGCUGUGUGUUGUAUUCCUGGUUCACAAAGCAAACGUCCAACACAUGUGGAAUGCACGGCAGGAUGUCGGACCCUCUAAGGGUUGUAUACAGAUAUAUGAAGGGGAAGAGAGGAAGAAAAAACACUUGUGGGUCUGAGGAAACGACCCCUUCCAGUAACAAAUGGAGCAUGUGCUCUGGGUCUCUGGGAGGAUUUGUGUGGGGAUCUUGCUCUCCAUGUGCGCGCAUUCCUCUGAAUCAGACAGGUGUUAAAGUGAAAUGGUGCCCAGAGGACGCAGCACCCUACUGCUAUCAGCAGCCUGACCACAUGACAGAUCCAAGAGCAGCCAAGCACAACUGCCAUGGGGCUUGCCAAGGGCUUAGAUGCUGAAUGCUGAGUGAGAUAUCCGUGCCAGUUUGGCACCUCUGGGCCGUGUGGCUGUUCCCAGCGUGGGGUCGUCAUUGUAACAUACUGGGGAGAGUGGAACCUGAAGCUGUCCUCGUAGUUCCUGCCAAGUGAAGAUAAAUUAUUGUUGUGAAUAUAAAAUAUUAAUUACCUUGCAAGUGUGCUUGGGAGGCUGUGCGUGGCUCUGGCAUCUCUCCAGACAUGCUGUGGUGAAAUCAGAGGAUUGCCUCCUGGCACUGGGGUCUGUUUUGCAGUCGUCCGUCCCCCCCCCCCCGCCCCCCUCCUGGCAUCACACUGGAAAUGAGUAAGAGGAACACUGUUUGAAAACAACUGACAUCUGGGGAAAGAUGUUCAUUGGCUUCUGGGAUUUAGACCAGUCCCUGAGCUGGUGCCUUUAGCAGUGGAUUUAACCAAUGCUGUAAUCUUUUGGCACCUGUUGCAGUUUUUUUGGCAGUGGUAUAGGACUGCUUUGAUUGCACUAUGACCAGAGUAGUGAGCAUAUGUCUGAUGCCCACCCUAGAAAGAGCAACUUAGUGCCCUUAAUGCCUUUCCCAUUGUUUUUCUUCUACUUUCUCUUAUUUGUCAAGCUGCUGUUAGUAAUUACUGUUACAUGCAGACAAGCAUCUAUCAGCAUCUCCGCAGCUAACAAACGAAGGACAAAGCGAGAGGAGGACAGGAAUUAGCAGAGCUCUGUGUUGUCAGAGGCCAGCUGCUUUUUGCAUUUGAUUUGGAAUUGUUUAUCUGGCCCUUGGUUUUAAGAAGUGUGGUAAGCAGAGGACUCCAGGCAAAGCGAUACAUCCCAGUGCCUGAGAUGUAAUCAGGAGAUGAGUAUUUGGGUUUAUAAGUAUGUUAAACAAAAUAACCAAAUAUGUAUCUUCAGGAAGAGAAUUCAGCGGACCCAUUAAAGGAAGUCUCUGCCUACAUGUCUCUGCACUGAUUGUACAUCUGUAAAUGGCCGCCGUCCAGCAAAGCUCUUAAGUGCAUGCUUAACUCUCAGCAUGGCUUGGCUACAGCAAUGUUACUAACUUUGGCAUGUGAGCUUUUAUGCAUUUGGGGCAUUCACAUGCCUAAUGCUAAGCGCAUGCUUAUGUGCCUUUCUGGAAACUAACUCUUCCUUGUGCCCUACAGGCCGGCAGCCUGGAGCAUGAGUCUAGUUUCCACCUCAGUUUCCUGCUCCUGGAAGAGGGUAUUGAGGAAUAGGGCUGCACAUCCGUAUGGAUGUCACUGAAAUGCAGAGGUACAGGCCUCUGAAUCUUGCUGAUGCUGCAUGUAUUUCACCUUUUCUGGUGCCUUAGAAUCAGUCCUUGGGCUCCCAGGGAUCUCUAGAAUGUAGUGUGAGGUUCCCUAAUCAAAAUGUCUUGGUUUUCUGAAGGAGGCUGUGAGCCUCUGCAGUCGCUAGGGGCUGUUCAUUAAACUCUGAUGGACCUAUAGCCUGGACUGGUAGAUUGAGUAGUUGUAGUGAGGUUGUCCGUAAAGGUUCCCGCUGCUGUAAAUCAGUGCAUCUUAAACACAAUUCCUGUACAGCCUGCGCAGAACUCAGUGUUUUGUUGAACAGGAUUUCUCAUUUGACCCAUGUGGAAGAGCCAGCGGGGAACUGGCACACGCAGGUGUCACACAGUCCAUAUUGCACUGCAGCUUUGUGUGUCAUUAAUGUCGGGCAGUCUGAGAGGUGUACGUUACAAUUCACCAUUGCAUUUGCUGCCUUGUGAAAAGCCAAUCUUGAGAACUGGGUUGUCACGUUGGAAGCAAAAGUCCUCAGAUGCUUAUAGCAGUUCCUGUUGUAACAACUCAGCUUUGCUGUUCUAGGACAAUGAAGGAUUUUAUGCUUCCUGUCUACUUGCAGACUGCAGGUGAGAAGAAUAUCAGCAAAGGCAGCCCAAAUGCUAAAUCUCCUAGAUAUUGAACAAUGAAAAGUUAAUUGAAUAUACUGCGAUAGUCACAGUUCAUGGAUCUCAUUGGGUACCUCUGUAUUUUAGGUUUUAUUAAAAACAAAAAGAAAGGCAAAAGAAAAACUCCCAUCAGUAACAAACUAACAAACAACCGCAUCGAUAAGUAAAGUCCAAGCAAGCAAUUCCAGCAAACUAUUCUAGUGUGCACAGUUCAGAGUCUGCUUGGACAUUUCACGAUCUGCCAUCUGCACCAGAAAGUUGCUGAAUGAGUAAUGGUAGGUUGGUUAUUGUUGUUUUUUGUUCUUGGUUUUUUUUUUUUUUACCUUCACCAAAGCCUGUUUGUGCUGCAGACGGCUUUGUUAUUUGUAGUCAUUUAUUUUAGAUAAGUUAAUUUUUGGACUUCAUAAAAAACCUGAAUGGGAGAAAAACAUCCUGUUGUGAGAGAGUUCUUAUCUGCUGCAUUGAAAAAAGUUGAAAAUGGCUUUCUGAACAGUCCAAAGGAGUUCAUUUGAGGGCUAAGACCCAAAUGCGAGUUUGAAAAGCACUUCAAAAUAUCUUUGUCUAGCUUUCUGCCCCUGGAGGAGGAAAAGAGAAAUUUAGCAAGCACCACAUGUUACAGAUGCUGCUCAAGAUGCUUAACACGUUACUUAAAGCUGUUCUGUAACCAUUAUGUUGUGAGUAAUAAGAGGAUGUGAAUGGGAUGGAAGAGGAAGAGUCCAGGUUUGCUGUAACCACAGCUGUAGCCUCACCCCUUGCAUGUUGUCAAGGGGUCAGCUUGCUUCUGCUGGUUCCUGCAGCAUUACUGAGUGUACCUCUGCAGCACGAGGCGAUACCUGAUUGGGCUUACCUCCGGGUGAGCUGGCACGUCUGCAGUGAGUGGGUUACCACACAGGGAUACCAGCUUUAGUGCCAGAAACAGCGAAGCUCUGUUACUGCCAUACGUAGUUAAUUAGCUCGGGUGUCACAUGGAGCGAACGCUGCUAUAUUGCUGCUGGUUCUGCUGCUACGGUAAUUGACGCUGGCUUGGGGAUCUUUGCCCCAAUGCGCAGCGCAGACAUACCCAGGAAUGCACUCCUAUUGUUGACUGAAUACUGUAUUUUCUCAUAAAUGUGGCAGGAGUAUAAUUGCAGGGUGGAAAAAGAAGGGCAAUAUACAUUCACUUCACUUUAGAAACUAAAUUAAACCUUUCACUUAACUCACUUCUCUACCAGCUCCCUGCGGGCAUUUCUACAAGCUUCAUUAGAGCCAACCUCGAGGCCAUGGAAAAGGUCUCACAAAAGCCCAGCUAGGAAGCCAGUCACAGCCCCAGAUCCUGCUGCUGCACGGCACAAUCCGCCUCUUGGCUCCUCGGGCCUGCAGCUGCCAGGCACUCUCCUUAUGUGGUCACUGGUGUUGGCUCGCAGGCUGCAGCAGAUAGACGAGGAGGGCUGAGGGGGAACACAUUCAUCACUGCCAGAGAGAGCGGGGGCAGUGCCAAGUCGCUAUGUAACUAAGCACAUGUGCCAAUUUGCUCGGUAAUUGGAUUGCUAUUUGAAAAAUUAAAGCGGUGUCUAGAAAAUUCGAACCUUUGCGUUCACGCAGUCUGAAGCUCGCAGCCGAGGGCCUGCACGGGAAGAAUAAAGGUGACCAGACGUAGGUGUUUAGGAGAGCGAGCGUAGGAAGCGACGUGAUUGCUUUCAGAAGCGUUCCCCCAGCCUCACAAGCAGCCGCUCUGCAGAGAGACAAAGAGCAAGGCACAGCACAGGGGAAGCUGUGAUGUUAUGGACAAGCUGUAACCCAUUGCUUACUAAGGAAAAUUAGCACAGGCUCGUCAGCUGAAAGUAAUUCCUGUAAAGAAAACAUAUCAUUAGAGGGAAGGGUUUGAUGUACUUGCUGUAAGUUUUUUUUUUUUUGCUGAAGAGGGGGAAAAAAAGCUGCUAAUGGACAUUACAGUACUUUUUGUUUUCUUCCCAGCCUGCAAAUCUGUUGCUUUUCUAUUGCAUACCUUAUUCCUAAAUGCCUUUGCUGGGCAAAGCCUAUGUGCUAAUGUCAAAAACUAAUUACAUUGAAUUAUCCAGCCACGGAAUUUCUCAUUAAAGGUACGUCUGUGCUACAGAGCUGUUUCUGCUCCCCCCUGAAAUCAAGUUCAGGCCUCGCUUUGACUUCAGCAGAAGCCCAAUGACAUCCAAAAAUGUAGCUACCUAAAUAGUCCUUCAGGCGUUUCGUUAUUCUUUGCAGUUGAGCUCUCCGGCCACCCUUAUUCAGCUAAAAAAUUUAAGCGUGUGGAUACAAUGGGUUAUAAAUUGUUCCUAAGAUAAUAUUUGUAGUUUAAAGUAUAACCCGGUUGCUCGUAGACGUAUAAAAGCAGCGCCUGUGUUCUUCAUCACUGCUCAGCGGAAACUCAGGCUGGAAGCCUUGCAUUUAAAAUAAUAGAAAGUAGAAAUCGAUGGGCCCAUACUGAGGAAGAACUAUUUGGAAGCUCUGCGAAACGUCUGAUUAUUUCUCAUGCGCUCAGUCCCGGUAGAAUGAGGUUAACACAUGUCAAAGUGGAGGCUCAGGAAAUUUUGGGUCACAUUUCUGCCCCUAGAUGGAGUCUUCUGCACACUGGUAUUUUUGAUAUUUGGGGAGAGAAUGGAGCUGUGUGUUGGAAGCCUUGAAAUGCCUCUUGUUCUGAAUUCCUUUUACAGCGUAUCAAGUGCUGCCCAUUGGGACGGGGGUAACUGGGACCCGGAGACCAUUUAGAAGAGAAAAAUCAAAAUAGGGUUUGUUUGUAUAAUUGGUUGGAUGCUAUAUGGGGCACUGCAAUUUCUCAGUGUCUCUUAUUUGUUGGUUGGCGAUAGAUACCUGGGUAGUAAGGCAGAAGUCUGUGUUUUAUAGAGCACUGCUCAUUACUAUGAAACGUCUGAAAUUUGCAGCUCGCAGUGCUUAGCAUUUCUGUGACUUUCGUGGUAGUCCCUUCUCUUAGUAUCCAGUGAAUGCCAUGGUAACGUUACCGUCUUGUAAAACAUUUUAAUAGUGACCACUGUAAUAUAGUGGUUGUGUGCAAACAGCGUGCGCCGUUGCUUCAGAGGUGUUUGUAGCAUUUUGUUUUUGUCACAAUCGCAGCAAAACGUUGCCAGAUCUUGAGAACCGAAUCCUAAACUUGCCAAACACGGAGCUGAAAGUGAGUUCUCUUCUGCAGCUUCUGCCUUUGAUCAUCUGCAGUUUCAUUGAUACAUUCCUACCCAGCACUCACGAGCUUAGUGAACCAUGGCUCUAGCGAGCGCAGUUGCUUGGGAAAAGCAUUUGGCUGCAGACGCCGUGUUGGAGGGGGGAGGUGGGUGUUUUCCAAAGCCAGCUUUGGAAAAAUCUGUGUUGUUUUAUGUGUGAGCGAGAGCUCAGCUGCGGGCCCGCAGCUCAGGUAUGUUUGCAGGCGGCUUCUGGUUCCGCCUCUGCAACAGGAGGGGGACCAGCUGCAGGGUUUGUCCUUGGGCCGGGAGCUGGAUUCCUGCAGGAUCCGGGAUUUUGCUUUGGACCUUUUCAAAUGCGAUGUAAAUGCCAGCAGCUUCCUAACAACUGUUCGCGGAGCUCUGAGCAGAAUUUACAGUGGACUCUUGUGAGAGAGAAGAGAAUGGAAAAGCUCAACAAAACCUCUGUCAUCUGAGCGGAGUCCUGAGAAAUGCUUUCCAGCUUUCAAAGAAAGAAAGGGUCUUAAUUCAGAUUUGCCGGAAUUGUCUAAUUAGUCCCUUUAAUGCCGUGCACCUUAUAGUCUGUGCCGCCAGCUUCGUCCUAUAAAUGAGACGAUGGGCUAAUUCAUCUUGGCAGCAGUAAACAGACCUUGUGAUUGUCCUCCUCACAAACACCGGCCUGCUUUUAGGAGAGCGCUUUGACCAAGCCCGCGUCCUCGCUCCCUCUGCUGUGCCCCCCCUGUUCUGAGCGCUGCCUCUGCUCCGCGCUCUCCUCCUUCCCCACCGACCCACCCCACCCCGUCUCGCACACAGUGACAUACCUCACACAUUUGCCACUGCUAACAACAACCUGUCAACUCUUUCUUUGCACCGUGCUAGGCGCCCUUUGUUUCUGCAGCCCAGCAAGCCUUGCAGCUGUUGUCCGAGGCCUGCUCCGACAGCCUGUGAUCAGUCAGCUGCAAAAUCCUCCCUGAACAACUCGGUAUUCACAGCUCUAAUCGGGCCAGCGGACUGUUUCCUCCUCUCUCGCAGUAAAUCUUUAUCACUUGCGCUCUGCUCGUCAGUUCGUGGCGCCAGCUCUUUGGGCUGCUCCAUCCCUUUCCCAUACUCUGCUGUGCCGUGUGCUCUGAAUGCUAACUCCAGCCUCGUUUAGGCUCGGUGCUGUGAUCCACAUGUGGGGAAGGUUGAAUUCCUGCUCCUUCCCCAUCUUCUAAGCUGCACGUACCGCAAGUUUAUCUCUCUCCAAAUGCAAAGAUACCCAAAGGCUCCCUCCCUCCGCCUGUUUCAUAUUGUAUCCUUAUAAGUUAAUUACGUGAUUAUCUUUCCAGCAGCCGGUUGUGCUUCUGUUUAAGAGCUGCCUUUGGUAGGAAGAGCAGGGUGAGUGCCCAGCCUGGGGGAGCUGGUGGUGGCAAGGGAAGCCCUGGGGAAACUGGCACAGGCUUUAAUUUGACCGCAUGCCCAGGGCUAUUAACCUUCCUCUUAAUGGUUCCCCCAUGGACGGAAACACAUUGCCCUCCAUCUUGUCCCUCAGCUGAUGCCAUCUCGGUCUUUUAAAAGAUUUACAUCAAAGACGCUGAAUUGUGAAGCAGGUUUUUAGAAAAGGGAUUAAAGUUUACUUUAUUGGUAUCCCAGCUGAGCGGAGGGGGAUCUGUACAGCUUUUAGGAUGAGGUUUGUGCCAGUGUGGGGUUGCUGAGGAUCUGAAAGCACAACUGUAUCUGUGUCCAUUGCUGCUUCUGCUACAACAUGACAGCUCCUCCUGCCUCCUCUGGCAAAAUGCUGUGGGUUCUGUUUUCCCCUGUGCUGUGCUUGGGCAUGGGACCUGAGAUAACAGAGAGUGUAAUUAAAGCUCAGUUAAAGAACAAGUUUUGCAAAGAGAUUCAGCUAGCUUUCAAGUAGAACGUGCUCAAGAUUACUUUUAAAAACAAAUUAUUCAGGACAGCGGGGGUUAUUUGUGUUUGUCAGGAGCCUGGGAAGCAUUUGCACAAACACUGGUCUGAGGGCCAGAACUACUGUUUCUUAAUCUUGUCUUUUAACCUAAGUCUGUUUCCACCACUGGAAAAUCCAUUUCUCUUCCUGCUUCAGCUUCCCCUGCUUUUAAGUCCUUCUGUUUUGGUCCUUCCAGGUGUGUGGGUGCAUGCAGGGAUGAAGAUUAGCCAAAUAUACUUCUUUAAGAGUAAAUCUUGAAUUGGCUUUAAAAAAUCUGUUGUUGCUGUUAAUUUUAGAUGCUGGUUGGAAAAUCCGGGUUCAUUUCUACUCAGACUUUCUUCUCUUCAGUUCCUCAUCAGUAUAGUGGAAGGUGGACUUGUUUGAUCAAGAAAAAAUUCAUCAACAUAGGAUUAUUUUAAAAAAUAUAAUUUAAAAUAUAAAUUACGUAUAUAAUAAAAAUACAAUAAAUUUAAUUUGGAAUAAAUUUGCUGACAAUUACAGUCAAUUGGACAUGCAGAGGAGCAUUGCAAUUAAACAGUAUUAAGCAGGUAUGUCAAGUAAAAUGCAAGUAAUGUGUGGCACAGCUUAGUCACCGAGCUCAGAAUUUGGGUCUGACAGCCUUGGUGUGUGUCUGUCCUCCUGUGUGUUUGUUGCCAUCUGCAGUCAUAUUCAGUUUCUGGCCAUGAUGUUCUUGUCCUGUUGGUGUGCCCUACUUAAAUAACUCCUACGUACAUCUCCAGAUGGGAUGUUCUGCUGCUAUUGUAACUAGACCUAUAAACACAUUCUAGACUUAAUUGAGAAGAAUAUCUCCAGUCUUCCUGGUAUUUGUCUCAGAAACCCUUUGCUUUCUCAGUGUGUCCUUCAGUGAAAUUGAAUGUUCAUAAGCAGCUUCUCAAUAUUAGCCUUUUUUUCUAUAGGCUGUCUACAAGGAAAGCAGUUGAAGUAUAACGUUGAAUAGUAUGGCACAUUGAGCUAUUUGCUGGGGGAAACUUCACAGCUGAAAGUGCUCUUGUGAUCAGAGUCAGUUUGGUGGGACAGCAGGUAGAGAACACAGCAUCUUGACAAGCCCUAGGCAAACAUCUUAGAUAACUCUUUCCCUUUCUCUGAUUUAUUUUGCUCACAACACUCUUCUCAGUUCCUUCUUCUGUAUCCCAGGCUGUUACCCAUCAUCCUUUGGUGGCCCUAUCCGUCUCCAAGGUCCGAGAGGUUGCCAUGAGGCUGGUGCUGUAGCAGUUUGUAGUUUGGCUCGCGUGGCUCUUGACACAAGUGAUGAAGUAAGACACUGCAUACAGUCAACCACUCAUUCUUCUUCUGGACUUGUAAAUCUUGUCUAUCCUGUGAGUCUUGAUGGGUUUUCUUUUGCUCACAGUUUUGAUGACUACAAACUUCGGAGGAAAUAUGGUUUAUGUUCCCUGACCCAUGCCUCUAAAAGCGUAAUACCAAGUUUAGUCCCCUUCUACCUUAUCAUCUUUUUUUUUUUUUUUUUGAUCAAAUGGUAAGCUACUGGACAUAGCUAUUUUGUGAUGUGAUGUCUUCUAUUUUAUAAAACAGUGGCUCUUCACCAUGCCUGGGGGAGGAAAACCCAUUCUAUGUCCUCUGUAGAAAAAGCAAUUGAUUCUGAAGCGCUCCUCAAGAACAUCCUUUCCUUUGCUUGUUGGCAGUGUCCAUGUAUGGCUGUUCUCCUGUGUGUCUAGUGAUGUUUUUGCCCCGAAGUGAGGUUCUGCUGAAGGAUGCAGCUGUAGACUUGAUAUGUUUUUCUGUUUGGCUGUAGCUGGAAGAGGACUUGUUUGUGGCUAUAGGAUGAGCAGAGUCUAAGAACAGUUUUUCCAAUUCCCUGGUCCAAACUGAAAAAGGACUUGCCUUUCCUAAUGUGAAUCCACAUUUGAAUAUGCAUGCAGGAGCAACAUAUUUUAUUGCUCAGUUAUUCAGUUUUUAAGGAGCAACGUCAACACUUUUCCAGCUCCUACAGUAUUUGACUUAAGAAAAUUUCAGACCUCAGCAACAUUCUUUUUGAAUUUUUUUUCCGAAUUUGCUGAUAAUAUGCUUACUCUGUAAUUCCAUUUUAAAAAAGCCUUUUAGUCUAGGAAUUUCCUUGUCUGAUUUGCCUCAGACUUUCCAGAAAUAUUCUACCUUGGCAUAAAGUUUGCACCUGUGGAAGUUCAGGGAAAUUGGUUUAGCUUUUUCUAAAUGAGGAAGGGCUUCUGCCAAAAUUGGGCUUAUAAUGAAAGGCUGGUUUAAAUAUGGACAGACGAGUCUCUUCAUAAUUAUUAGGUAACGUUAAUGCAUCAUCAGGCCUGUAAAGAAAAAAAAAAAAAAAAGACUAAGUGGACUUUAUCUUGCCUAUAAAAAUGAAUUUUUGUUUCUCGUUUGGCAAGUCGGGAGAAUGUUUGCUAUUAACCCAUCUUGUUUAAUUUUUUGAGCUGCCGCUUGUGUGCAAGUUUCCUGUACAUCUUAAAAGCAUGUAAAAGAUGAACAAAGAAGGAGGGGGAAGGUCAUAAAUGGAUCCAUGUGACUGCCUCUUCCCCAGGCAUUUUUUCCCCUCGCUUAAGAUGUUUGGAGGGAAUGCAGGGCCAUGCAGUGUUUGUGAAAGCUGAUGGAACAUCUUCCUCCCUCGGGGUAUUUCUUCAAUCAAUGUUUCUUUAUAGCAUUAGGUCAUCUCCUCUUUUUUUUUAUUUUUUUUAUUUUUUUCCUGAAGAAUCCUUGUUUUGUAUGUUUUCAUGCAUCCUGACAUUUAUCCUCAGAAUUAUGGCCUGAUCACUUCCUGUCCUUUUCCUCAAAAUUUCUCUCGUUUUAUCUAUUUUAAGUGCUGAAGCACAAAGAUAACCCCAUCAUAGUUCUCUCAUUUUCCCCAGUGCUUCACCCUCCCUUCCCUCCCCGCGAUGAAAAAUGAAAGGUCUCAUGGUCUUACAGAUUUUCUUUAUGCUUAUUUUGGCCUAUUUGCAACCCAAAUACAUCACUAUAAGACGGCUCUCUAAGGCUCUUGGAUCAAUUAAAGGUAGCCCUAUUCAUUGCCAGUACAAACCUUUGCCUAUUAACUCUUUCAAAGGGCAUUUGUCAUCGCAAAAAGCUGUGAAUGCUGUCUGGGUUCAUUGAUUAAAAAAAGGUAUUGUUUUAAGGCUGCUGAAUAUCUUAAUUAGUUGUAAUCAGAGGGUAGCUUGUGCCUGUAAAGUGAUACAGUUACCUUUCACCUACUUGCUUUAUUUUGAGCUUUUCAAAAGAAAAAUAUCUCAUGUAAUUUGAGCGUAGGGUUUGUAGGCUAGAAGAGGAGUGCACUUGCCGAUCAAAGCAUAAUUUAUUACAUUAUUUCAUAAAGCCAAAUAGUUAAUAUGCUAAGUUGGAGGGCGUCUCGUUGGCCUACGACCAGCCAUGCGAGGGCAAGCGGAGCAGCGCUGCGCGUUGCCAGCUAUCAUCCUCCUUUCUUCAGUCAGAAAUCCAGCGUCUGUAUUCUGGAAGUGUAGAAAUCCACCCCAAUUCUGCAAGCACCCGCACGUGUGCUUAGCUAGAGCACAUGAAUGGCUCAUUAAUACGGAGUAUGUAUGGCGCUGUCUGCCAGACCAAGGUAGAACAGGGAAACGUUUUUUAGACCACUGGUUCAUUUGCUGCAAUUGUGGCCUCAAACCGUUUGCAGCCAUUUGUGAAUUUGUACCAAAACCGGGAAAUUAUUUAAGCUGGGAAAAUAUCUUUUCUGCUGUCCUCUGAAUCAAAACAUUUCUUUCAGUGGUUAAUAAUAAAAGUCUGUUUCCUGUUUGAAGAGACUCUUCUGAAAAUUACAAUCCACGCUUUUCCUUGGGCUUUAUGAAAAGCUUUGGUUGUAUUUGAUGCUGUUUUGGUUUAUUUUUCUGAGAAAAUAUUUUGUAUUUCCCCUAAAACAUUUCACUCAGAGCAAAUAGAUAUUUAUGUACCCCUGACAGAGUGUCUGGGCUGUAAACAGAUCCUGUCCAGUCACAGGUCUCAAUGAUGCACCAGAAACUUGCAUAGGUUGACCCUCACUCUCUGGUGAAGCACUUCCAGAGAUGAUGGAUUAGAGAUAAAUGCUUUUCUUUCUGUGGUUGUGCAAAUAUCUUCUUAUAGAGAGGAAAAAUGCACCUGACAUAAAAUCUUAAGUCAUGGUUGGUAGAAAUAUUUGCUUUUGCUCUUGAAUAAGAUACUGGGUAGGGGAAUAGUCAGACUAGAUGGCCUUAGUGGUCUUUUCCAAACUUGAUGAUUCUGUGAGUAGAUGACAAUUUAUUUUGGGAAAGGGACACAAAUGGCAUCUCAUGGGGAGACUCCAUUAUCUGGGAGAAAAAGUCUUUAGAAGAUGCCUUACAGGUUAACCAUGUAUACUGAGUUGCUGGUGCCAAUUGGUCAUCUGGAAAGCAGGGCAAUGCUGUACCUGGGAACUACGGGACAUGCGAAUCCUUAACACCUGCUCUCAGCUUACAGUUUGCUUGGUAGCUUCUAUUGUAAAAAAAAUGCAUGCAUGCUCGUACACGGAUUCUCGAGGUAAUGUGGCAAAGUUACACAAAUGCUAGCACUGCUAUAUCCAACCUCUUAUUUUUCACUGAAUAAGUAUAGUGUAUAACGUCUCCCUCGCAGGGCAACUUUUCUAUAGUUGCCUGAGUUCAUCUCAAAGUACUUUUUGGGAAGUAUUUGUAGUACUUCAUGUCCUUUUAAGUAUUUUUUUUCAAAAUAAAAAUACUUCAGGAGGACUAGUUCCAACUUCAGUUGACUGUACAAUCAUGUCUGUUUCAUGGAUGUGGAAAAACAGCCUGAUAGAGAUUAAAAUCCUAAUUCAAGAAAAUGCAAAAAUUUAAGCACGUGUGUUAAUGUUCCUGUGAUUUUGGCGUAAACUGUUCUGAAAAGUUUUCCUGGGAUGCUGUCAGAGGCAAAAAUAGAAUACGCAUUGGAGUUGCAGACAGUGCCUCAGUCGCAGUAUAUGUGAACGUUAGAAAUUUUCUUUCUUACUUAGUAAUAAAUGUCGGUCUUGACAUGGUCGUUUGGAGGGGAGUUUAUUUUAAUCGUUGGUUAUUUAAUUCAGUGAUUUAUACGCUACAAAAAGAUAAUCUUGGUGUGAAGAUCAAUGCUGUUCUAACAUUUUUCUUCAGCUUUUAAUGUUUUCACAGAAUUGUGCAGUGCCUUUUCUUUGAUCAAGUGCUUUGGAAAUAAAUUUGAGGAAACAAAAAAUGCCCAUUUCUACUGUAACUCCGACGUGCAUAUGAAUUAAUAUAUAAUAGUAUUGUGUGUCUUUCUCUAUAGAACAUUUUUAGGUGUCUGUAGAACUAGGAGAUGAUUUAUGAAGUGUGACUCAUUUUUCCUUCUUCACACUGUUCCACUGGAAGAACUCGGACUGCGAUGAGAAAAACUAGUACACGUUAUUAAGAAUUCCGAUAAAGUAGGCUGAAUAAAUUUGUUUUCUUUGUGAGCCUUAAUCCUGUGUUGUAUUGGCUUCUUGGACAUGGCUAAUUUAUUUGGAAUUCCAUUCUGUUCCCGACAGCAUUCCUGAUUAGCAGUUUGAUCACCCGGAGCAAAGUUACAUACCAGCUUUCAACUCUUGUAAUCUAGCAGUGUAAUUUUUUCAAAUGGGCUCUUUUCUUUCCUUCUUUGCCCUAGCUCCCCUUCUUUAUAUGUGCAAAGAGACUUUAAAAGUAAGCAGGAUAACCUGUUAGUAGACUGAAAAAUUUGUACAAAACAUAAUACAGUUUGCUGAAUGCCCAACUUGUGUCUGGCCACAAAGCAUCUGAUGUAAAGUUCAGACGGGAAUAUAGAAACUUCCAAGAUCAGUCAGAUCAGUGAGUGUUUAUUGUGAGUUCAGGAUUUUGUAGCUAUCAAAAUGCGAUUUAAGAAAGCAGACGUUUAAGGAGAGAAAGCCAAAGCGUAAAGUAAAGCUCAAGCCAUGCAGUCCCACACCAUUUUUUGAUUUAGUGUGAUACGAUGGUAGCUCUGAUAAUUUUCUACUGCUCACAGAGCUUUAAGCAAUCAGGGUAAGCUUUUCUUAAAGUUCAGCACGUGUUCAGCAUGGACCUAGUUGAAUGCAGCCAUGUUUUUGGCCGUGUCUUUAAAGUUUCCAAGGCUCUGUUAAUUUCCAAGUAAAGCUGUGUGAGAAAUAUUUUAACUUCUCCUUUCAAAUAAUGUGCUUUGAUUUUCUUAAGCAGAAACGUAAGAUCUGGAGUUGUGCCAGUCCAGUUCCAAUAUGCAAAAUAUUUGCCUUCGAUCACUUGUAAAGGAUAGAGAUUUUUCAAUGAUUGCAUUUCAUGAGUAUUGUGGCAAUGCCUUCAUGUCCCUCCCAUGAUCUGUAGUUUGUCAAAGCACAUUCUGCAUGUGGUAGGUUUUAGAAACUUGUAUGUUUCAUGGCUAAGUUUGUGAUACACUGGACCUUAUAUGGAAAUUGCAGUCGCAUCAUUUUUUGCUUCUAUCAGUGUUGUGUUAUGCUGUCAAAAUGAAUAAUGACUGGGAAACCCCAAAUGAAUUGUAAAACAGAGCCAGGUUUUGAUCUGAUUUCUUUUUGGUGGAGCACAGGAGGAGCAUCCUCACAGUGAAAUGUGGAAAUGCUGGAUUUAGCAGCCCCCUCUGUGAGUGUACAACAUGCUGAAGACACGUAGUUAAAGGUGAGAGGGAACUGGGUUUUCCUAUCUGUGACAUUUCUUAGGGUCCCGGUCUGGUUUUGUGCUCAGUGAGGAGAAAGAGAAGUUUUUAAGCCAUGAGAGACUUGGGAAUAAAACAAAGAGAGGUGUCCAUGGAACUAAUCAAGAGACUCAAAAUAGUGGUUUUAUGUAUGACUGACUUGGCUGCCUACUUAUAAAAGCUUGAUCUGUCUUUCAGCUUUCUUCUGAUCUUAAAUUUUAUGGAUCUGAAGGACAGCUCCUGACAAAUUUUUCAUCAAAG